rfam:Canis lupus familiaris chromosome 24, whole genome shotgun sequence.
AGGAGGAACAGCCCCAGUGGUGGGGCCAGCUCUGCAGCCCUGGAGUCAGCCCCCGCAGGAACUCCGGAGCUCUCCGUCUGCAGGGCCUGGAGGCUCCGGGGCGGG